rnacentral:rRNA from 1 species
GACGAACGCUGGCGGCGUGCCUAAUACAUGCAAGUUGAGCGCUGAAGGUUGGUACUUGUACCAACUGGAUGAGCAGCGAACGGGUGAGUAACGCGUGGGGAAUCUGCCUUUGAGCGGGGGACAACAUUUGGAAACGAAUGCUAAUACCGCAUAAAAACUUUAAACACAAGUUUUAAGUUUGAAAGAUGCAAUUGCAUCACUCAAAGAUGAUCCCGCGUUGUAUUAGCUAGUUGGUGAGGUAAAGGCUCACCAAGGCGAUGAUACAUAGCCGACCUGAGAGGGUGAUCGGCCACAUUGGGACGGAGACACGGCCCAAACGCCUACGGGAGGCAGCAGGAGGGAAUCGUCGGCAAUGGACGAAAGUCUGACCGAGCAACGCCGCGUGAGUGAAGAAGGGUUUCGGAUCGUAAAACUCUGUUGGUAGAGAAGAAAGUUGGUGAGAGUGGAAAGCUCAGCAAGUGACGGUAACUACCCAGAAAGGGACGGCUAACUACGUG